rnacentral:lncRNA from 1 species
UGCCACUGCACUCCAGCCUGGCGACAAAGCGAGACUCCGUCUCAAAAAAAUAAAAAAGAAAUCAGAAACUGUUCAAAUUCCAAUCUAUACAAGUGAAACCUACACAGUUAAAUGUCUUAAUAGAGAGCUAAAAGCAUUAAGUUCUGUCAUACUCAACAUACUGAUGAAAAAAAUUUGAACUAAAAGACAGCCUGAUCUUUAGAAACUGGCAGAAAAAAUAGGGGCUGCAUCCAAGACCACUCACGGCACGUCCAUUCUUCCAGCAGCUCCCAACUGCUAUUUUAUGAAAAGUCCAAAUUUCCCACCCCAAGGUCCUAGAGUACAGCCAGCUCCCUACCAUCAAAAACAAUAGCUACCAAAACUCAGUAAAAUUAGGCUUGUUAUGAAGAGAAGAUUGAAGAAAUAAAGGUAUUUAUUUCAUCUUGGUAUUUGAAUGUGGAAACUCCCAGUAGGGUAAGAAAAAAGAAUUCUGCCAGAGAAAUGAUGAAGUGAAACCUCAAACAAUUUGGGCUUUUGAGUGCCUACUGUCAUCCAGCCACGAAAUGAAGCAUUUUACAUAAGUAAUUUAAGCCCAGUGAUGCAGGCAGUAAGUAUUAUCUCCAUUUUAAGAUGAGGAAAUUGAGACAGACGAGAUUACCUAACUCUCUCAAGGUUUCACCACAGAGCUGUGGUUCAAACCCAUGUGUUCUAGUUUUAUUACAGUUAAGAAACUGCAAGAGUUUGCCAAUUUGUCAAGUGCCAGUCCAAGAUAAAUGGACACUCUGAGUAUCAAAAAAAUACAUAAUCUGCAGAUCAAAACACGAAGAUACAAACAUCUAAGAGUCACCAUGGAAGUUGCGGGGCAUCCAGUGGUUUUUCUGAAAAUCCAUGAAGGAAAAGAAUAAAGCAUUUUUCCAGCCUCUCUUCUACAAACUAUAUUUCAGGGAAACCAAAUAUUUGAUGAGGGAAUUCUUUGUUUAGAAGGAUUUUAGCUAAUAAAUGCAGAGGAAUAACAAGAUUUAGGAGGGGGGAGAAAUCACCAUUUUGUGACUUCUAAUAAAAUAAUGGGUCUAGGCAACAGUUUUCAAUGGAUGCUAAAACGAUUAGGUGAAAAGUUGAUGGAGAAUUUUAAUUCAGGGGAAUUAGGCUGAUACCAUCUGAAACCAUUUGGCAUCAUUAAAAAUGUGACAACCUGGUGGCUGCCAGGGAGGAAGGGGAGAGGGUGGGGGAAGAACAGAAGUUAUAGUUUAUGGGCACAAAGUUUUGGUUUUACAAGAUGAAAAUAGUUACAGAAAUGAAUGGUGGUGAUGGUUGCAGAAUAUUAUGACUGACUAUACACUUAAAAAUGUUUAAGAUAGAGCUGGGUGCAGUGUUGCACACCUGUAGUCCCAGUUAUGCAGGAGGCUGAGGUAGGAGAACCACUUGAGCCCAUGAGUUCGAGACCAGUCUGAGUAACAUAUAGAGACCUCAUCUCACAAAAACAUCACUACCACAAAACAAAACAAAACAAAUUGUUA